rnacentral:pre_miRNA from 1 species
AUUGUACUCCCUCCGUUCCAAAAUAGAUGACCCAACUUUGCACUAACUUUGUACAAAGUUAGUGCAAAGUUGGGUCAUCUAUUUUGGAACNCUUUGCACUAACUUUGUACAAAGUUAGUGCAAAGUUGGGUCAUCUAUUUUGGAACGGAGGGAGUAAAUC